GCAGCCGUUGGCUGCGCAGUGCGUGCGCGCGAUGGCCCCGGCCCUGUUGGGUCGUUGUCGGCGUCCUGCGCCGCAUUGGCUAGGCGUUCCCUCAUUUCGCGGCUUUUCUGCACGUGAGAGAGUUCCUCGUUAGCUUCCAUUAGGAAGCCUAGUGCGGAGCGAUAGUCUUGCUCUUCGCAGAAUUGUCUGACUUUGUCAAACAUGCGCGACGGCGGUGUUAUGCCCCUACGCUGGGCGCGUCUCACGUACUUUUCGUACAUGUCCUGGACCUUUUGUACCAGUUUUUGCGCUUUUGACGGGCUCACCUGGCGCAGCUGGUAGCGCUCAUGGUCGGCCUCCGCCGACUGGGUGCGUUGAGGGUUCCUGGGACUGGCCAUGAGGGCUAAAUAGAAAAUGUUUGAAGAAACUGAGAUGUAGGUGCGGAAGCGUUGGAGUACUCGACUCCGAGGUCUUUUGACCGGUUGGUCUAAGAUACCAAAAUUGUAACAAAGCUUGCAGUUGGCAAGC
rnacentral:lncRNA from 1 species